rnacentral:rRNA from 1 species
UGAGGAAUAUUGGUCAAUGGACGAGAGUCUGAACCAGCCAAGUAGCGUGAAGGAUGACUGCCCUAUGGGUUGUAAACUUCUUUUAUAUGGGAAUAAAUGUUCCACGUGUGGGAUUUUGUAUGUACCAUAUGAAUAAGGAUCGGCUAACUCCGUGCC